CCUACGGGUGGCAGCAGUGAGGAAUAUUGGUCAAUGGACGAGAGUCUGAACCAGCCAAGUAGCGUGAAGGAUGACUGCUCUAUGGGUUGUAAACUUCUUUUAUAAAGGAAUAAACCGAGGCACGCGUGCCUUUUUGCAUGUAUUUUAUGAAUAAGGAUCGGCUAACUCCGUGCCAGCAGCCGCGGUAAUACGGAGGAUGCGAGCGUUAUCCGGAUUUAUUGGGUGUAAAGGGAUCGUAGAAGGGUGGUUAAGUCAGUUGUGAACUUUUGCGGGUCAACCGUAAAAUUGCAAUUGAUACUGGCCGGCUUGAGUACAGUUGAGGUAGGCGGAAUUCGUGGUGUAGCGGUGAAAUGCUUAGAUAUCACGAAGAACCCCGAUUGCGAAGGCAGCUUACUAAACUGUGACUGACAUUGAUGCUCGAAAGUGUGGGUAUCAAACAGGAUUAGAUACCCUUGUAGUC
rnacentral:rRNA from 1 species